AUUGAACGCUGGCGGCAGGCCUAACACAUGCAAGUCGAACGAGUGGCGGACGGGUGAGUAAUGUAUGGGAAACUGCCUGGUGGCGGGGGAUAACUACUGGAAACGGUAGCUAAUACCGCAUACCAUCAGAUGUGCCCAGAUGGGAUUAGCUAGUUGGUGGGGUAACGGCUCACCAAGGCGACGAUCCCUAGCUGGUCUGAGAGGAUGACCAGCCACACUGGAACUGAGACACGGUCCAGACUCCUACGGGAGGCAGCAGUGGGGAAUAUUGGACAAUGGGCGCAAGCCUGAUGCAGCCAUGCCGCGUGUAUGAAGAAGGCCUUCGGGUUGUAAAGUACGUUCAGCGGGGAGGCGUUACCCGCAGAAGAAGCACCGGCUAACUCCGUGCCAGCAGCCGCGGUAAUUC
rnacentral:rRNA from 1 species